CGCCUGUUUAACAAAAACAUGUCUUUUUGAUUAUAAUUUAAAGUCUAACCUGCCCAAUGAGGAGUUAAAUGGCCGCGGUAACCUGACCGUGCAAAGGUAGCAUAAUCAUUAGUUUUUUAAUUGAAAGCUGGUAUGAACGGUUGGACGAGGGAGUAGCUGUCUCAGUUUAAUUUUAUUAGAACUUUAUUUUUAAGUAAGAAAGCUUAAAUGAAUUUAAAAGACGAGAAGACCCUAUAGAGUUUUAUAUUUGUUAUAAUAGGUAUUUUGUAGUAUGUAUAUUGUAAUUAUUAUAGUGUGUAUUUUGUUGGGGUGACAGAAAAAUUAAAUGAACUUUUUUUAUUGUAAACCAUUAAUUUAUGAUUUAAUGAUCCGUUGUAGAGCGAUUAUAAGAUUAAAUUACCUUAGGGAUAACAGCGUAAUUUUUUUUGAGAGUUCUAAUCGAAGAAAGAGUUUGCGACCUCGAUGUUGGAUUAAAAUUUACUUUUGGUGUAGGAGCUAGGGGGUUAGGUCUGUUCGACCUUUAAAAUUUUACAUGAUCUGAGUUCAAACCGGAG
rnacentral:rRNA from 2 species